rnacentral:rRNA from 1 species
GAUGAACGCUGGCGGCGUGCCUAAUACAUGCAAGUCGAGCGAACGGACGAGAAGCUUGCUUCUCUGAUGUUAGCGGCGGACGGGUGAGUAACACGUGGAUAACCUACCUAUAAGACUGGGAUAAAUUCGGGAAACCGGAGCUAAUACCGGAUAAUAUUUUGAACCGCAUGGUUCAAAAGUGAAAGACGGUCUUGCUGUCACUUUUAGAUGGAUCCGCGCUGCAUUAGCUAGUUGGUAAGGUAACGGCUUACCAAGGCAACGAUGCAUAGCCGACCUGAGAGGGUGAUCGGCCACACUGGAACUGAGACACGGUCCAGACUCCUACGGGAGGCAGCAGUAGGGAAUCUUCCGCAAUGGGCGAAAGCCUGACGGAGCAACGCCGCGUGAGUGAUGAAGGUCUUCGGAUCGUAAAACUCUGUUAUUAGGGAAGAACAUAUGUGUAAGUAACUGUGCACAUCUUGACGGUACCUAAUCAGAAAGCCACGGCUAACUACGU